CCUUCUCCCCCAGCUUGACGUCACGUCAGGCUCCCUGGUAAACCUUUACCACAAAGGUGUGUAUGCACAGGCGAAGAGCAGAAGAGGGAAGGAAUACAAAAAUGGGUGAAAGCGAGACUGCAAAGAUCCAUAUUCACUGUGAAAGUGGCGAGCGUGGCGUGAGUCAUCUAUUGACUGGAGCAGGUCCAAGCAUCUGGUCAGGAUCUUCCUGGGCGUCUUCCAGGCACGUCCAGCUGGUAGGAGGCCGCGGGGUCGAGCCAGAACACGCUGGAGAAAUGAUGUAUCUCACCUGGUCUGGGAACGACUCGGGAUCCUGCAGGAGGAGCGGGAAAAGGUUGCAGGGGAGAGGGACAUCUGGACUACUUUGUUUUACCUGCUGCCACCGUGACCUGACCACGGAUAAGCAGAAUAAUAUGGAUGGAUGGAUAAGGAGUAGAGGAGGUAGUAUUAAUUAUCUAACAUUUGAAUUUACAUUAUAUUGUAAUAUAUUAUUUAUAUUACUUCUACAUAAUAAUAUAUUACCACUGUAAAGGUAGCAAUUAAAAACAUGGAGUAAUCACCUCUAAAUCAUGAUAGAUGAAAUCAAUGAGAACAGGUGUAUUUAGACACAUGUACUUUCCUGGUGCCUUAAUGUAAUGCUUACUGGUAUGGUAGAUGAAUGGUACAUAUUUAUUUGUUUGUACUUGUUAUUAUUUUUGAUGCUCAGAGUUUUCACUACUACAUCUGUAACAGUUAAAACAUGAUGAACUGGAACUUUACGAACCCAAUAAAGAAAUAACUAUUUUA